GUAGGUGAACCUGCGGAAGGAUCAUUACUAUUCGGUAGUUUACUACCGUUUGAAGGGGGUGGAAACUUUCCAGGCUUGCCUGGCAAGAAGUACAUCCUUUUCUCAACCCUUGUCUUUUUGCGCACUCUUGUUUCCUCGGCAGGCCUGCCUGCCGACUGGACAACUCAAGAACCUUUUUAAUUUUUAAUCAGCGUCUGAACAAUUAUAAUAAUUACAACUUUCAACAACGGAUCUCUUGGUUCUGGCAUCG
rnacentral:misc_RNA from 1 species